AGACGAACCGGACGAACGUUAUUCGGAAUUACUGGGCUUAAAGAGUGCGUAGGCGGCUUGGUAGGUUGGGUGUGAAAUCCCACAGCUCAACUGUGGAACUGCGCUCAAAACCCCCAAGCUUGAGGGAGGCAGAGGUGAGCGGAACUGAUGGUGGAGCGGUGAAAUGCGUUGAUAUCAUCAGGAACACCGGUGGCGAAGGCGGCUCACUGGGCCUUUUCUGACGCUGAGGCACGAAAGCUAGGGUAGCGAACAGGAUUAGAAACCCCAGUAGUCC
rnacentral:rRNA from 1 species